AGUGACCCAAUCCAACAGCGCUCCGCAUCGGGGUCAAUUUAGAGAUCCGCCCAAACCCUAGGAUAUAUCGGCGAGGUCUCGCUUCCUGGGACUGGUUCGGUUGCCGUCUUCUUCUUCGGCGCGCCUAGCUCUCGGAAGGACUCAGCGUAGAAGUGGAAGCAAGAGUAAUCCGUCGGAACCAUGAGCAAGUUACAGAGUGAUGUUUUGAGGGAAGCAAUCUCUCAGAUCACAAAUGAUUCUCGGGAGAAGAAGCGCAAUUUUACUGAAACCAUUGAGCUACAGAUUGGACUGAAAAACUAUGACCCCCAAAAGGAUAAGCGUUUCAGUGGAUCUGUGAAGUUACCUCAUAUCCCUCGUCCAAAAAUGAAGGUCUGCAUGCUUGGUGAUGCUCAGCAUGUUGAGGAGGCAGAGAAAAUAGGGCUUGACUAUAUGGAUGUUGAAGCACUAAAAAAAAUGAACAAAAACAAGAAGCUGGUCAAAAAGCUUGCUAAGAAGUACCAUGCUUUCCUAGCAUCAGAGGCGAUCAUUAAGCAGAUUCCUCGUCUUCUUGGUCCUGGUCUCAACAAAGCAGGGAAGUUUCCCACGUUGGUGACUCAUCAGGAAUCCCUGGAGGCAAAAGUUAAUGAGACAAAAGCAAUGGUGAAAUUUCAGCUCAAGAAGGUUCUAUGCAUGGGUGUUGCUGUGGGUAACUGUUCAAUGGAGGAAAAGCAGAUUUUUCAGAAUGUGCAACUCAGUGUUAACUUUCUUGUAUCAUUGUUGAAAAAGAACUGGCAAAAUCCUUUCUCUUGUACAUGCGAGUCUAGCAUGGCUUUAUGGAAGAUCCACCAGCCUGCCAGCCUUUAUGGCGGCAAGAUCCAGAUAAUAUGUACCUAGGUUGCUGACCUUCAUGUCUGUAGCCGAGGGCACGCUACGUGGAUUAUUUUAUAACAUGGGCUUGUGUGAGGUGCUUGUACCUGAAGAGCACCAUGGGGAAGCCAUACCGAGUAUUCUAAGCUGUUCUUUGCCUGGGUUGAAAAUUUGCGGGACAAGAUGUAGGGAAUACUUGGUUUUCAUUUUGUUCACUCGGGUCUUGUUAAAUCCAAAAUUUUGUUCCUUCUGGUGCUAGUGAGAUUUUAGUGUUUGAUGGCUUUUUAAGACUUUCUGAUGGAAUUGCAUUAUUAUGAAUUUUCUUCACUUGUUUCGAUUCAAGAACAAAAUGUAAGAAUAUUCUCUUAUCACGAUGUGGUUUUGCCAGAAGGAUAUUGUAACUCAUGCUGCGUGAUUUUUGUCCAUGGUUCAUCUUAGAUGGGUUCAUCUUA